UACGUAGGGUGCAAGCGUUGUCCGGAAUUAUUGGGCGUAAAGAGCUCGUAGGCGGUUUGUCGCGUCUGCUGUGAAAACCCGAGGCUCAACCUCGGGCCUGCAGUGGGUACGGGCAGACUAGAGUGCGGUAGGGGAGACUGGAAUUCCUGGUGUAGCGGUGAAAUGCGCAGAUAUCAGGAGGAACACCGGUGGCGAAGGCGGUUCUCUGGGCCUGUACUGACGCUGAGGAGCGAAAGCGUGGGGAGCGAACAGG
rnacentral:rRNA from 1 species